AAUGAACGCUGGCGGCAGGCCUAACACAUGCAAGUCGAACGGGUGUCUUCGGGCACUAGUGGCGGACGGGUGAGUAACGCGUGGGAACAUACCCAAAGGUACGGAAUAGCCUCGGGAAACUGAGAGUAAUACCGUAUGUGCCCUUCGGGGGAAAGAUUUAUCGCCAUAAGAUGAGCCCGCGUAGGAUUAGCUAGUUGGUGAGGUAAUGGCUCACCAAGGCGACGAUCCUUAGCUGGUCUGAGAGGAUGACCAGCCACACUGGAAUUGAGAUACGGUCCAGACUCCUACGGGUGGCUG
rnacentral:rRNA from 1 species